UACGAAGGGGGCUAGCGUUGCUCGGAAUUACUGGGCGUAAAGCGCGCGUAGGCGGAUUGGCAAGUUGGGGGUGAAAUCCCGGGGCUCAACCUCGGAAUGGCCUUCAAGACUGCUGGUCUUGAGUUCGAGAGAGGUGAGUGGAAUUCCGAGUGUAGAGGUGAAAUUCGUAGAUAUUCGGAGGAACACCAGUGGCGAAGGCGGCUCACUGGCUCGACACUGACGCUGAGGUGCGAAAGCGUGGGGAGCAAACAGG
rnacentral:rRNA from 1 species